UGGGAAUUUUGGACAAUGGGCGAAAGCCUGAUCCAGCAAUGCCGCGUGUGUGAAGAAGGCCUUCGGGUUGUAAAGCACUUUUGUCCGGAAAGAAAUCCUUGGCUCUAAUACAGUCGGGGGAUGACGGUACCGGAAGAAUAAGCACCGGCUAACUACGUGCCAGCAGCCGCGGUAAUACGUAGGGUGCAAGCGUUAAUCGGAAUUACUGGGCGUAAGCGUGCGCAGGCGGUUUGCUAAGACCGAUGUGAAAUCCCCGGGCUCAACCUGGGAACUGCAUUGGUGACUGGCAGGCUAGAGUAUGGCAGAGGGGGGUAGAAUUCCACGUGUAGCAGUGAAAUGCGUAGAGAUGUGGAGGAAUACCGAUGGCGAAGGCAGCCCCUGGGCCAAUACUGACGCUCAUGCACAAG
rnacentral:rRNA from 1 species